UGCCUGCCUGCCUGCCUGCGGCCAUGCUCCCUGCCAAGAAGGUCAUGGACUCACCCUCUGACACUACUGCUUACCUGUGAAGCAGGAUAUCCUGGGACCUGACCCCGGAGAGGAGGUGCUUCUGUCUGACAGUCCUGCUGGGAAUAUAUCCAACGAGAGACUGGGGUUGGGCUGUUACCAGGUGAACGGUCUCAUUAUGUGGCUUAACUGUCCUGGAACUUGCUACAUAGACAGGGAUGGCCUUGAACUCAGAGAUCCUUCUGCCUCUGCCUCCUGUGUAUUGGGAUUAAAGGUGUGUGCCAUAGCCUCCGCCAGGUUGCAGAAGCUGCUCAGUGUCUGUGUCCUGCUCUUGUUCUCCUGGCUUAGUGGAGACAAGCCUCUGCGGCAAACAUACUCAGCUAGAUCAUCGGGCAAGCCAAGAAGCAUCCCAGCUUGAUCCCUCUCUCCGUAGUUACUGAAGCAGGAGGUGUUGGAGCAGCACUGUAUGUACUGUACAGCCCAGAUGUCGGCUGAGACAGGAAGAAUAACCCAGAACCUUGGAACAAACUGGGUCCCAAAAACAAUACAAAGUCUACUAAGUGAAGCGAUUACAGCGAACUGAAGAAAGAA